rnacentral:rRNA from 1 species
ACGGAAGGCAGCAGUGAGGAAUAUUGGUCAAUGGACGGAAGUCUGAACCAGCCAAGUCGCGUGAAGGAUGAAGGUAUUAUGUAUUGUGAACUUCUUUAGCAGUGGAGUAAUAAGGGGAUCGUGAUCCCUGAUGCAAGUACACUGAGAAUAAGGAUCGGCUAACUCCGUGCCAGCAGCCGCGGUAAUACGGAGGAUCCGAGCGUUAUCCGGAUUUAUUGGGUUUAAAGGGUGCGCAGGCGGCUUUUUAAGUCAGUGGUUAAAUCGUGACGCUCAACGUCAUCACGCCAUUGAUACUGGAGAGCUUGAUUGCGGUCGAGGUUUGCGGAAUUCGUUGUGUAGCGGUGAAAUGCAUAGAUAUGACGAAGAACACCGAUUGCGUAGGCAGCAGACCAGGCCGUAAAUGACGCUCAUGCACGAAAGUGCGGGGAUCGAACAGGAUUAGAUACCCUGGUA